CUCUUGUCCUUUUCUUUCUUGACCUCUCUGCUCAUCCUUACUCUCUGUCCCUGGUCAGUUCUUCAGCUGAAGGCACCUCAGCUGAUGGCUCUAUCUCCUGUCUGCCUGCACCUCUGGUUCAUAUUUCUUACUCCAAACCCAGGCUCAGACACUUCCUGAAGCUCCCUUCAGUUUCAGGCUUGGAACCUGUUACCUCUUUCUUCUUGCUUACAACUCCCUUUGGAGUGUGCAGAUCUGUCCUGUGCCUGGCCCACUUUUAUAGUUUGGAAACUCAAAACUUGUUGGAUUUUACAUGGGCACAGCUGGAGGGCAAUGUGCCUCAGACUCAAGAAUAACCUUCUUUGGCUUGGUGCUCUGCCAGGGAUUUGGGACCCCAAGACUCCAGGAAACACUUUGCCGCUACGCUUCACCAUCCUUGAACUGCCAGCAUCACUGCUCUUGCCUUGUGGGACCAUCAUGAAAUAAAAUUUGCGUUACUUGAACACAGAUGCUUUGAUACCACAGCAGUUGAUGUGACAACCAAGAGGCCAGCCUAGGGAUGCGUGGGCAGGCAGCAUCUGCCUGGAUAGGGUGGAUGAGGGGAUGAUCCGCAUCUCAGGCAGGAUGGGUCGGACCCCAUGGGAUUUCAUCAUACUACUGUACACAAUUUAAAUCUUACAAAUUGUUUAUUUCUGAAGUUUUCCGUUUAUGCUUUUCAACUGUGGUCAACCGCAGGUAACUGAAACCUUGGAAAGUGAAACCGCAGAUAGAGAGAGGACUACCAUAUUUUCUGGCUAUUUGAACUUUUUUUUUUACUUUUUUUUGUGACCCCCUCCCCUUCCCAUUUUACUAGUCUCGGACCAUUUGUGGGAUUAAUCUUUUUCUCUUUGAUUUGUAGGAGCUGUGUGUA